rnacentral:misc_RNA from 1 species
AAUUAUUCUCUCUACACGUGAAAAAUUAUUUUCUCCAUAGAGAGUAGAAUAAUUCAAUUUACACAUGACUUGAGAAAGAAAAGAGAAUGAGGGGAGACAAAAGGAAAAAAAAUAGAUAAGAGAAAAAAAACCACUAAUCGCGGGUCUAACCAGGUUGCACAGUGUAAGACUGAGAGGAGAAGAGAGUAGAGAAGAGAGAGAGGAAAGAAUGUGAAUAUGAGAGAGAGAGCAAGGAAGAAAAUACUUGGUUGCGCAAUGUUUCCUUGGUCUGCUCUGCUUUGUUUUGCCUUGCGAUGUGCUUUCCAUUGGUGGUGUUAGGUGGAGCUAAU